GACGAACGCUGGCGGCGUGCCUAACACAUGCAAGUCGAGCGGUAAGGCCCUUCGGGGUACGACGAGCGGCGAACGGGUGAGUAACACGUGGGUGACCUGCCCUCCACUCUGGGAUAAGCCCGGGAAACUGGGUCUAAUACCGGAUAUGACCUCUGGAUGCAUGUCUGGUGGUGGAAAGCCUGGGUUGUAUGACUCUGGCGGUGGGGGAUGGGCCCGCGGUCUAUCAGCUUGUUGGGGGGUGGAUGGCCUACCAAGGCGACGACGGAUAGCCGGCCUGAGAGGGUGAUCGGCCACACUGGGACUGAGACAGGGCCCAGACUCCUACGGGAGGCAGCAGUGGGGAAUCUUGCGCAAUGGGCGGAAGCCUGACGCAGCAACGCCGCGUGGGGA
rnacentral:rRNA from 1 species